rnacentral:rRNA from 1 species
UCCGGAUUUACUGGUUUUAAAGGGUGCGUAGGUGGGUUGGUAAGUCAGUGGUGAAAUCUUCGAGCUUAACUCGGAAACUGCCAUUGAUACUAUUUAUCUUGAAUACUUUGGAGGUAAGCGGAAUAUGUCAUGUAGCGGUGAAAUGCUUAGAUAUGACAUAGAACACCAAUUGCGAAGGCAGCUUACUACACAGUUAUUGACACUGAGGCACGAAAGCGUGGGGAUCAAACAGG